CUUGUGUAUUACAUCAUCAGUGUGCGCUGGUGACUACGUACGUACGUGCGGUGUGGUCAUACAAUCUGCACCUUAAAAAGCCAGAUGCAGACCCCACCAUCUCUCUCUGCUCUGCUCUCCCCCCCCAUCUUUCUCUCUCUUUCCUCCCCAGGCCUGGUUCUUUUGUCCCUCCUCCCCUUCCUCCUAGUAAAGCUCUUUGCUACUAAGCAACCCGGUUCUGUAUGACCGUGACCUUUCCGCCAGUAACCAGCACCGUUUAUCAUUCAUUUCACUAAGAGUACUCCUACCCCCCAUUGCUCCCUUGCUCUUGGACCCAGAGCACAUGCAGCAGCAGGCAGAGAAGCACACUGUUGUGGUGCUGCAUGUCUGAGAGGAAGCAGAAGACUGGAAUAAUAAAGAGAAGAAAAGGAUAAGAGGAAUGUGAAGUAAAUGUCUGAGGAAUCAAAGGAAAAACUUUCUCCUUAUGGGCCUGAUGGCCAAAGAAGAUUGAUGUUGUUCUGAUACUUGUGCCUCUAAUGCUAUGGAAACCUGGGUAUGGACUAGUCGCUGUCAUUUAUAGAACGGAAGCUGCUUGGUCUGCACUCAGGUUUCCACUUGGUUGACAGUCAACUCGAAGCUUCAGCUGCUGACUACACUGCUCCAAACAACUCGAAGCUCGGGAUUCACUAAAAGCUGAUGUGGACCAGCCCAGCCAACAUGAUUGUUCCCCAUCUCUACAGCUGGAACAGAUAGCCACAUGCUUCUGACAGAUGCCCCAUUGCCCAGCCUUUGAGUAGCUUUUCAGCAUUUUUUGGAACCCUGACAACAAUGCCCCAAAGUCAGCUCAAAGCAUUUUCACAAGAGAAUGUUGUCCCACAUCCUCUGCCAAAAAUAGGUUGAAAUGCUGGGUCAAAAAGGAAACUCCAUGGCAUAGGGGACAAAACGGUUAACUAUAAUGCCCAUUGACAGACUAGGAAAACAAGUUCAGAGUUGUCAGUUGAUAAAUUUAUUAACUAAAAUGGCUCUGCAACUGGAUAAGAUACUUGAUUCUCUUUGUGAAGAACCAAAGAGGUAAUAUAUGGCCUUAAACAUAUUAUUCAAGAUUAUAAUCUAGUUGUAUUCAAAGAUCAGUGCUACAGGGCCUUAAGAAUAGCAAUAGACACAGAUGUCCCUGACCUAGAAAAAUCUGUGGUUCUUAGGUCCCAAUACCCUUGAACCCCUGGGUAGAUAGGACUCGUGAUUGAGUCCUGUCAUUGGCACUUGUGAAGGAGAGAAUGUGGGGGAGCCCAAAAUAGCUUGACCACACAACUGCCACGACAGGCUUAGAGGCCCAGACACAGCUUCUGUAAUAGGCUAACUGGUGGGUAACACCAGGAUCCAGAAAGAGCCAUGAGCUGACCACCCAGGGAGGGCCUGCAUCUAAGGGGAAAUACCUGCCAUUACAAACAUUCCCUAUACCCCUAGACAAAUGUCAGCCAAUCAGGGUCCUGCACCCUAGAAACCCCCUCACCCUAACCUCUGCUAUGAUAAAAUGUCCACCCUGCCUGGGCUUGGGGCUCUCUGCUCUUACCACUUCAUCAGCAGAGAGUCCAAGCUCCGAGCUUGAAAAUAAAGGCUCUUUGCUUUUACAUAUGGGA